GUGACAAAUUAGGAGAGAGGCUUCUCUAUUGCUCAGUCUUCAGGGGAGAAAACAUAUAGGAUAUUUUUAAAGUAGGUUUAGGUCAGGGGAAAACUCACUUGAUCUCGAGUUUCACUGCAAUUUCAAUCAUUCUCUCUGGCAUCUGGUGCCCAUUUAUAAGGUACAAAGUAAGGAAUCAGUUAAAAGCAUGCGCAAGCAAAUGUGAAAUUUGUGCUAGAACAACGCACUUGGGGUUUUUAAUACAAUAAUUGACCCCUUCCUUGUUUGUCUGUCUAAUGCUCACUUUGUUCUCUCUAGAUCUCACAAGAUAUUGAAUUUACUGGCUAGAGAAGGGCUGCAGACUAGAGAAAACAGAAAAAUUUGCUGAGAAAGCAGAAGAAGAGUGAGUCUGAUUUGAAGCCAUGUGGUUCUGCAGUAGAUGCCUGUCUGAUACCAAGAAUGUGGAGCUUCACGUGGUUUGGGAAACCAGACUGUGCAUCAGAUACUUAGAAAUCUCUCAGCACCUUCACACCUGAGUGCCCCUGACAGGCGUACACCAGGGCUGCUUGGACGCUGCUGCAAGAGGGCUCCAGCCAUUAAAACCCCACAGUGUUCAUGAGGAACUGUUGGUUUCUGCAAAAUGUAAGGGUUUUUUUUUGGUUUGUUUUUUUUUUUUAAAGAAAAAACCUAUUUUCUUAAAAACAUUCUUCUACUUUGAAGAAAGAUCUGAACAUUUUUUGCAAAAGAGUUAGAAACUUGAGGCCAGGAAACAUUUCCAUGCAGC